rnacentral:rRNA from 1 species
AUUGAACGCUGGCGGCAGGCCUAACACAUGCAAGUCGAACGAGCGGCGGACGGGUGAGUAAUGUAUGGGAAACUGCCUGAUGGCGGGGGAUAACUACUGGAAACGGUAGCUAAUACCGCAUACCAUCAGAUGUGCCCAGAUGGGAUUAGCUAGUAGGUGGGGUAACGGCUCACCUAGGCGACGAUCCCUAGCUGGUCUGAGAGGAUGACCAGCCACACUGGGACUGAGACACGGCCCAGACUCCUACGGGAGGCAGCAGUGGGGAAUAUUGCACAAUGGGCGCAAGCCUGAUGCAGCCAUGCCGCGUGUAUGAAGAAGGCCUUCGGGUUGUAAAGUACUUUCAGCCGGGAGGCGUUACCCGCAGAAGAAGCACCGGCUAACUCCGUGCCAGCAGCCGCGGUAAUUC